rnacentral:rRNA from 1 species
UACGGGGGGGGCAAGCGUUGUUCGGAAUUACUGGGCGUAAAGGGCGCGUAGGCGGGUGCUCAAGUCCGGGGUGAAAUCCUCCAGCUCAACUGGAGAACUGCCUCGGAUACUGGGUGCCUCGAGGGUGGUAGGGGUAUGCGGAACUAUCGGUGGAGCGGUGAAAUGCGUAGAGAUCAUGAGGAAGACCAGUGGCGAAGGCGGGUCUCUGGACAGUUCCUGACACUGAGACACGAAGGCCAGGGGAGCAAACGGG